GAUGAACGCCGGCGGCGUGCUUAACACAUGCAAGUCGAACGAAGCACUUUAUUUGAUUUCCUUCGGGACUGAUUAUUUUGUGACUGAGUGGCGGACGGGUGAGUAACGCGUGGGUAACCUGCCUUGUACAGGGGGAUAACAGUUGGAAACGGCUGCUAAUACCGCAUAAGCGCACAGCAUCGCAUGAUGCAGUGUGAAAAACUCCGGUGGUAUAAGAUGGACCCGCGUUGGAUUAGCUAGUUGGUGAGGUAACGGCCCACCAAGGCGACGAUCCAUAGCCGACCUGAGAGGGUGACCGGCCACAUUAGGACUGAGACACGGCCCAAACUCCUACGGGAGGCAGCAGUGGGGAAUAUUGCACAAUGGGCGAAAGCCUGAUGCAGCGACGCCGCGUGAGCGAAGAAGUAUUUCGGUAUGUAAAGCUCUAUCAGCAGGGAAGAUAAUGACGGUACCUGACUAAGAAGCACCGGCUAAAUACGUGCCAGCAGCCGCGGUAA
rnacentral:rRNA from 1 species